GAUGAACGCUGGCGGCGUGCCUAAUACAUGCAAGUCGAGCGAACAGACGAGGAGCUUGCUCCUCUGACGUUAGCGGCGGACGGGUGAGUAACACGUGGAUAGCCUACCUAUAAGACUGGGAUAACUUCGGGAAACCGGAGCUAAUACCGGAUAAUAUAUUGAACCGCAUGGUUCAAUAGUGAAAGACGGUUUUGCUGUCACUUAUAGAUGGAUCCGCGCCGCAUUAGCUAGUUGGUAAGGUAACGGCUUACCAAGGCAACGAUGCGUAGCCGACCUGAGAGGGUGAUCGGCCACACUGGAACGGAGACACGGUCCAGACUCCUACGGGAGGCAGCAGUAGGGAAUCUUCCGCAAUGGGCGAAAGCCUGACGGAGCAACGCCGCGUGAGUGAUGAAGGUCUUCGGAUCGUAAAACUCUGUUAUUAGGGAAGAACAAAUGUGUAAGUAACUAUGCACGUCUUGACGGUACCUAAUCAGAAAGCCACGGCUAACUACGUG
rnacentral:rRNA from 1 species